ACACCGGCGGCCCGAGUGGUGAUCGUGAUUAUUGGGUCUAAAGGGUCCGUAGCCGGUUUGGUCAGUCCUCCGGGAAAUCUGAUAGCUCAACUAUUAGGCUUUCGGGGGAUACUGCCAGACUUGGAACCGGGAGAGGUAAGAGGUACUACAGGGGUAGGAGUGAAAUCUUGUAAUCCCUGUGGGACCACCUGUGGCGAAGGCGUCUUACCAGAACGGGUUCGACGGUGAGGGACGAAAGCUGGGGGCACGAACCGGUGUAGAUACCCGGGUAGUCCCAGCCGUAAACGAUGCUCGCUAGGUGUCAGGCAUGGCGCGACCGUGUCUGGUGCCGCAGGGAAGCCGUGAAGCGAGCCACCUGGGAAGUACAGCCGCAAGGCUGAAACUCAAAUGAAUUGGCGGGG
rnacentral:rRNA from 1 species